UUUCCUACUGUAAACAUGGAUUUUAAAAAUUUUCUAUUCUUUCCUCAUAUUUUAUUGACAAUCCUAAUAAUUUGCUUUGCUUUAAGCCUUAAUACCGAAGCUCGGGCAACUUUACCCACGUCUUUAGAACAGCAAGAACCAGAACAUUUUGAAAACAAAAUAUCAAUGUCAUUAUUUAUUCAACCAAGACGCUUAAACGAUUGUGGAUAUAAACAUAAUGGCAAACCGAUUGAGUGCUAGAUUUAAGUAAUAGUUCGUAGUAAGGCAGACAUCGGUGAAAUUAAAAUUAAUUGAAUUUACUGUGAUUAAUAUUUCUGUAUAAUAAUUCUAAUCAAAAUUAGCUUUUUUUAUAAAUGUUAAGUGAUAAUAUAUUGCGAUUCAAUUUUUAGAAUGGUUUGUAAUAUAUAUACAUAGUAUAUAACAGAGCUGUAAAAGAAUGAUUAAUUUUAUAAUGAAUCUUAGAAUUAUUUAUGCAAUUAAAUAUGAAUGAAAUUAAAAUUUUAAUGAAUUCUUGUAUGCAUUAAUUUUGAAUGAAUUGAAUAAAAAAUUAAUUGAAUUUCAUAAAACGAUAUUUGAUAGCUUUAAUAUUUAAGUUAGGCAGAAAGAAGUUGUGGUAACCGCUAAAAUACCAUUACGACUAGAAAUUUAGACUAGAUAUCAAUCUAUAUUUCACCUGAGCUGUCCUACUUCCUUCCACUUGGUAAGAAUCCAGCGUCCAAAUAGUUUAAUAAAAUAAUUUGAAAUUUCCUAA